GCAGCCGCCGCGGUAAUACGUAGGGGGCGAGCGUUGUCCGAAGUUACUGGGCGUAAAGAGCGCGUAGGCUGGUCUUUAAGUGAGUGGUGAAAGGUUCGGGCUCAACCCGGACACUGCCUUUCAUACUGGGGACCUUGAGUGUGGGAGAGGCGAGUGGAAUGGUCGGUGUAGCGGUGAAAUGCGUAGAUAUCGAUCGGAACACCCAUGGCGAAGGCAGCUCGCUGGCCUAACACUGACGCUGAGGCGCGAAAGCGUGGGGAGCAAACAGGAUUAGAUACCCCCGUAGUCCCUGUCUCUUAUAA
rnacentral:rRNA from 1 species